UACGUAGGGUGCAAGCGUUAUCCGGAAUUAUUGGGCGUAAAGAGCUCGUAGGCGGUUUGUCGCGUCUGCUGUGAAAACUGGAGGCUCAACCUCCAGCCUGCAGUGGGUACGGGCAGACUAGAGUGCGGUAGGGGAGAUUGGAAUUCCUGGUGUAGCGGUGAAAUGCGCAGAUAUCAGGAGGAACACCGGUGGCGAAGGCGGGUCUCUGGGCCGAUACUGACGCUGAGGAGCGAAAGCAUGGGGAGCGAACAGG
rnacentral:rRNA from 1 species